ACGGAAGGCAGCAGUGAGGAAUAUUGGUCAAUGGGCGGAAGCCUGAACCAGCCAUCUCGCGUGCAGGACUACGGCCCUACGGGUCUUAAACUGCUUUUAUGGGGGGAUAAAGUCGGGCAUUCGUGUCCGUUUGCAGGUACCCCAUGAAUAAGGAUCGGCUAACUCCGUGCCAGCAGCCGCGGUAAUACGGAGGAUCCGAGCGUUAUCCGGAUUUAUUGGGUUUAAAGGGUGCGCAGGCGGGAUGUCAAGUCAGUGGUGAAAUGGUGCGGCUCAACCGUAGCAUUGCCGUUGAAACUGGCGUCCUUGAGUGCGAAUGAGGUACGCGGAACGUGUCAUGUAGCGGUGAAAUGCAUAGAUAUGACACAGAACACCGAUUGCGAAGGCAGCGUACUGGGACGCGACUGACGCUGAGGCACGAAAGUGCGGGGAUCGAACAGGAUUAGAUACCCUGGUA
rnacentral:rRNA from 1 species